rnacentral:lncRNA from 1 species
AUCGUGACCUUUGAUUUACAGAUGACCACGCUGAGACUCGGUCCUUUCCUCUAAGCGCAGUACCCAGACUCAGGCAAUGGGAGAAAGAUGGACCCUCAACAGGAGAGCUUCUUGUACCAAGCAAUCAACAGAAAGGGAAAAAGGAGUCUUUGGGCUGGUGAAAGUCAUUGACUCUGAUGACAGCAGGUAAAGCAGGGAGUCACUGCACUGACUGACUGGAGUCACUGCACUGACGGGAGUCACCGCACUGACUGGAGUCACUGACCUCGGUGAGCAGGAGCA